AAUAGAUACCCCGGUAGUCCACGCCGUAAACGGUGGGCACUAGGUGUGGGCAACAUUCCACGUUGUCCGUGCCGCAGCUAACGCAUUAAGUGCCCCGCCUGGGGAGUACGGCCGCAAGGCUAAAACUCAAAGGAAUUGACGGGGGCCCGGCACAAGCGGCGGAGCAUGUGGCUUAAUUCGACGCAACGCGAAGAACCUUACCAAGGCUUGACAUACACCGGAAACAUCCAGAGAUGGGUGCCCCCUUGUGGUCGGUGUACAGGUGGUGCAUGGCUGUCGUCAGCUCGUGUCGUGAGAUGUUGGGUUAAGUCCCGCAACGAGCGCAACCCUUGUCCCGUGUUGCCAGCAGGCCCUUGUGGUGCUGGGGACUCACGGGAGACCGCCGGGGUCAACUCGGAGGAAGGUGGGGACGACGUCAAGUCAUCAUGCCCCUUAUGUCUUGGGCUGCACACGUGCUACAAUGGCCGGUACAAUGAGCUGCGAUACCGCGAGGUGGAGCGAAUCUCAAAAAGCCGGUCUCAGUUCGGAUUGGGGU
rnacentral:rRNA from 1 species